rnacentral:rRNA from 1 species
UACAGAGGGGGCAAGCGUUGUUCGGAAUUACUGGGCGUAAAGGGCGCGUAGGCGGCCUUCUAAGUCGAACGUGAAAUCCCCGGGCUCAACCCGGGAACUGCGUCCGAUACUGGAAGGCUUGAAUCCGGGAGAGGGAUGCGGAAUUCCAGGUGUAGCGGUGAAAUUCGUAGAUAUCGGGAGGAACACCAGUGGCGAAGGCGGCAACCUGGGCCAAUAUUGACGCUGAGGUGCGAAAGCGUGGGGAGCAAACAGG